rnacentral:rRNA from 1 species
GAGGCGAACCGGGGGAACUGAAACAUCUAAGUACCCCGAGGAAAAGAAAUCAACCGAGAUUCCGAAAGUAGCGGCGAGCGAAAUUGGACUAGCCCUUAAGCUUUACACGCGUUAGACGAACGGUCUGGAAAGUCCGACGAUACAGGGUGAUAGUCCCGUAGUUGACGACGUGUGUUCAGUGAAAUCGAGUAGGGCGGGACACGUGAUAUCCUGUCUGAAUAUGGGGGGACCAUCCUCCAAGGCUAAAUACUACUGACUGACCGAUAGUGAAC